rnacentral:rRNA from 1 species
CAGUCGCCGCGGUAAUACAGAGGAUGCAAGCGUUAUCCGGAAUGAUUGGGCGUAAAGCGUCUGUAGGUGGCUUUUCAAGUCCGCCGUCAAAUCCCAGGGCUCAACCCUGGACAGGCGGUGGAAACUACCAAGCUGGAGUACGGUAGGGGCAGAGGGAAUUUCCGGUGGAGCGGUGAAAUGCGUUAAGAUCGAAAAGAACACCAACGACGAAAGCACUCUGCUGGGUCGACACUGACACUGAGAGACGAAAGCUAGGGGAGCAAAUGGGAUUAGAUACCCCAGUAGUCCCUGUCUCUUAUAC